rnacentral:rRNA from 1 species
UACGUAGGGUGCGAGCGUUGUCCGGAAUUAGUUGGGCGUAAAGGGCUCGUAGGCGGUCUGUCACGUCGGGAGUGAAAACUCGGGGCUUAACCCCGAGCCUGCUUCCGAUACGGGCAGACUAGAGGUAUGCAGGGGAGAACGGAAUUCCUGGUGUAGCGGUGAAAUGCGCAGAUAUCGGGAGGAACACCGGUGGCGAAGGCGGUUCUCUGGGCCUUACCUGACACUGAGGAGCGAAAGCGUGGGGAGCGAACAGG